rnacentral:rRNA from 1 species
UACGUAGGGGGCCAGCGUUGCUCGGAAUUACUGGGCGUAAAGGGUUCGUAGGCGGUGUGGCAAGUCGGGAGUGAAAUCUCUGGGCUUAACUCAGAGGCUGCUUCCGAAACUGCCGUGCUAGAGUGCGGGAGAGGCGAGUGGAAUUGCAGGUGUAGCGGUGAAAUGCGUAGAUAUCAAGUGGAACACCAGUGGCGAAGGCGAGUCUCUGGACAUUUCCUGACGCUGAGGCACGAAAGCCAGGGGAGCAAACGGG